CAACUACUCCCUCCGUCCCAAAUUUCUUGUCUUAGAUUUUUCUAGAUACGAAUGUAUCUAAUACUAAAAUGUGACUUGAUACAUCCGUAUCUAGACAAAUCUAAGACAAGAAUUUUGGGACGGAGGGAGUACUUU
rnacentral:pre_miRNA from 1 species